GACGAACGCUGGCGGCGUGCCUAAUACAUGCAAGUCGAGCGGACGAAUCUAAAGCUUGCUUUUGAUUCGUUAGCGGCGGACGGGUGAGUAACACGUGGGCAACCUGCCCUGUAGACGGGGAUAACACCGAGAAAUCGGUGCUAAUACCGGAUAACACGAAAUGUCGCAUGACGUUUCGUUGAAAGACGGCGCAAGCUGUCGCUACAGGAUGGGCCCGUGGCGCAUUAGCUAGUUGGUGAGGUAACGGCUCACCAAGGCGACGAUGCGUAGCCGACCUGAGAGGGUGAUCGGCCACACUGGGACUGAGACACGGCCCAGACUCCGACGGGAGGCAGCAGUAGGGAAUCUUCCGCAAUGGACGAAAGUCUGACGGAGCAACGCCGCGUGAGCGAAGAAGGCCUUCGGGUCGUAAAGCUCUGUCGUUAGGGAAGAACAAGUAACGCAGUAACUGGCGUUACCGUGACGGUACCUAACGAGAAAGCCACGGCUAACUACGUG
rnacentral:rRNA from 1 species